rnacentral:sRNA from 1 species
GCCAGGUGCAGGGUGUAUGCCUGAAAUCCCAGCUACUCUGGAGGCUGAGGCAGGGGAAUCGAAAGUUUGCCAGCCUUGGCAACCUGGUAAGAUCCUGUCUCAA